CUCCCGCUGGAGACGUCUCUCUUGGCGGCUGUUUCCUAUUUGUGACGAGGUGGUUUGGGUUUUUUGUUCUUGCUCAUUUCGAACAAACUGUGUGUCCGUGGUUUGGUUGGUGAAAUUAUAAGGACGUCUUGAAUGAUCCGAAGUUGGUGACACUUAGACCCACGGCCAUUCUUUAUGUUCCCAGUCCUAAUUUAGAUGUUGGUGUGUUCCGGUUACCGUUGACGGUAACACCGCAGGUGCCGCGGUGGGACUAGUGCUUAUCCUGUAUUGCAUUGAUUACAAUUCCGACAUGAAAUUCAGAUAUUUUUACUAUACAUCCAGAAUCGCCUGAUCAAGCCGAGAUGCAGAGCACUUCCAAUCAUCUGUGGCUUUUAUCUGACAUUUUGGGUCAAGGAGCUACUGCAAAUGUCUUUCGGGGAAGACAUAAGAAAACUGGUGACUUAUUUGCUAUUAAAGUUUUUAAUAACAUAAGCUUCCUUCGUCCAGUGGAUGUUCAAAUGAGAGAAUUUGAAGUGUUAAAGAAACUCAAUCACAAAAAUAUUGUCAAAUUAUUUGCUAUUGAAGAGGAGACAACAACAAGACAUAAGGUACUUGUUAUGGAAUUUUGUCCAUGCGGAAGUUUAUACACUGUUUUAGAAGAGCCUUCUAAUGCCUAUGGACUACCAGAGUCUGAAUUUUUAAUUGUUUUGCGAGAUGUGGUGGGUGGAAUGAAUCAUCUCCGAGAGAAUGGCAUAGUGCAUCGUGAUAUCAAGCCAGGAAAUAUUAUGCGUGUUAUAGGGGAAGAUGGACAGUCUGUAUACAAACUGACAGAUUUUGGUGCAGCUAGAGAAUUAGAAGAUGAUGAGCAAUUUGUUUCUCUGUAUGGCACUGAAGAAUAUUUGCAUCCUGAUAUGUAUGAGAGAGCAGUGCUAAGAAAAGAUCAUCAAAAGAAAUAUGGAGCAACUGUUGAUCUUUGGAGCAUUGGGGUAACAUUUUACCAUGCAGCUACUGGAUCACUGCCAUUUAGACCAUUUGAAGGACCACGUAGAAAUAAGGAAGUGAUGUAUAAAAUAAUCACAGGGAAGCCUUCAGGCGCAAUAUCCGGAGUGCAGAAAGCCGAGAACGGCCCGAUCGACUGGAGUGGAGACAUGCCUGCAUCCUGCAGUCUCUCCCGGGGUCUUCAGGUUCUACUUACCCCUGUUCUUGCAAACAUCCUUGAGGCAGAUCAGGAAAAGUGUUGGGGUUUUGACCAGUUUUUUGCAGAAACAAGUGAUAUACUUCACCGAAUGAUAAUUCAUGUUUUUUCACUACAACAUAUGACAGCUCAUAAGAUUUAUAUUCAUACUUACAAUACUGCUACUGUAUUUCAUGAACUGGUAUAUAAACAAACCAAAAUCAUUUCUUCCAACCAAGAACUUAUAUAUGAAGGACGACGCUUAGUUCUAGAACCUGGAAAACUGGCACAGAAUUUUCCUAAAACUACUGAGGAAAAUCCAAUCUUCGUUGUAAGCCGGGAGCCUCAAAAAAUCAUAGGAUUGAUAUACGAAAAAAUUUCCCUCCCUAAGAUUCAUCCGCGCUAUGACUUAGAUGGGGAUGCUAGCAUGGCAAAGGCAUUCACUGGAGUUGUGUGUUAUGCAUGUAGAAUUGCCAGUACAUUGUUGCUUUAUCAGGAAUUAAUGCGGAAGGGGAUACGAUGGUUGAUAGAAUUAGUUAAAGAUGACUAUAAUGAAACUGUUCACAAAAAGACAGAAGUUGUGAUCACAUUGGAUUUCUGCAUCAGAAACAUUGAAAAAACUGUGAAAGUAUAUGAAAAGUUGAUGAAAAUCAAUUUAGAAGCAGCAGAGUUAGGGGAAAUUUCUGAUAUACACACAAAAUUGUUGAGACUUUCCAGUUCUCAGGGAACCAUAGAGACCAGUCUCCAGGAUAUUGAAAGCAGAUUGUCUCCAGGUGGACUGCUGGCGGAUACGUGGGCCCAUCAAGAAGGCACGCAUCCAAAAGAUAGACAUGUUGAAAAGCUACAAGUUCUCCUAAAUUGCAUCACAGAGAUUUACUAUCAGUUCAAAAAAGACAAAGCAGAACGUAGAUUAGCUUAUAAUGAAGAACAAAUCCACAAAUUUGAUAAGCAAAAAUUAUAUUACCAGGCAACAAAAGCUCUGACCCACUUCACAGAUGAGUGUGUUAAAAAGUAUGAUGCAUUUUUGGAUAAAUCAGAAGACUGGAUGAGGCAAGUGAACACUUGAAGGGUGAUUAGUGUUGACUGCACAACUUGUAAUGUUCAUUGUGUAUUUUAAAUAAUAAUUUUAUUAACUGAUACUUUUUGGUUUUCAGAAAGAUGCUUCAUCUAAGGAAACAAUUAUUAUCACUAACUAAUCAGUGUUUUGAUAUUGAAGAAGAAGUAUCAAAGUAUCAAGACUAUACUAAUGAGUUACAAGAAACUUUACCUCAGAAAAUGUUUGCCGCCUCCAGUGGAAUGAAACAUACCAUGACCCCAGUUUAUCCAUGUUCCAACACAUUAGUGGAAAUGACUCUUGGUAUGAAGAAAUUAAAAGAAGAAAUGGAAGGAGUGGUUAAAGAACUUGCUGAAAAUAAUCAUAUUUUAGAAAGGUUUGGCUCUUUAACAAUGGAUGGUGGCCUUCGCAAUGUUGACUGUCUUUAGCUUUCUAAGGAGUUUGAGAAAACUUCCACUUUGCACAAGAAAAUAAAGCUGAGACGUUAAAUGAAUAAUUCUAUAGGUGAUCUCCUGUUUCUACAAUUCAGUAUUUGUUGUGAUUGUGUAAAUAUGUACAGUAUUGUAAAUACAUACAAAGUAUAUAAAUUUUUGGCUGCUGUUAAGAUGUAAUUUUACCUUUUAAUCUUUAUAUGAGGAUAUUUGACCUCAGUGAGCACUCAAGAAAGCCAUGACAGUUACACUCGAGAUACUGAUCCUUCGCUUUUCUGAGUAGGGCUAUGUCUUAGGUCUCUGAUUGCCUUCUGGAAACAUUUCACCUGGAGCCAAAGCUGGCAUCCUUACACAUCAGAAAAAAACUGACAGUUGACAGUUUUAAGUGGUAGAAAGGAGAGGUUGCUUCUGUGAGUGAGGAACCAAACCGAACCACUGUUUAUUACUAGGGUCACAAUUUUUUUGAGAAGGAUGAAUGACAUCAUUUCAUUUUUUUUUAAAUGCCCAGAUCCCAGUUAUCCUUGUAUUGGUUUAAUUUCAAAUAAAUUAUUGAGCAAAUUUUUUUAACGAUUUAAUUAUUAAAGUCUAUUUUUUAUUUUUAGCCAUAAAUGUAUAAUUGUCAUGAAGAUUUAGGAUGAUUUCAACUAUUUAAAGCUGUAUAUUUCUUCUUUAAUUCUGCUUAUCACCUCAUGAAAAAGUACCAAUAAAUUUCUCAAUUUUAAUGUAAA